UCCUGUCAGGUGUGGACUUGUGUCU
rnacentral:piRNA from 1 species